rnacentral:rRNA from 1 species
CCUACGGGAGGCAGCAGUGAGGAAUAUUGGUCAAUGGACGAGAGUCUGAACCAGCCAAGUAGCGUGAAGGAUGACUGCCCUCUGGGUUGUAAACUUCUUUUAUAUGGGAAUAAAUUGUUCUACGUGUGGGAUUUUGUCUGUACCAUAUGAAUAAGGAUCGGCUAACUCCGUGCCAGCAGCCGCGGUAAUACGGAGGAACCGAGCGUUAUCCGGGUUUAUGGGGUUUAAAGGGAGCGUAGGUGGAUUGUUAAGUCAGUUGUGAAAGUUUGCGGCUCAACCGUAAAAUUGCAGUUGAAACUGGCAGUCUAGAGGACAGUAGAGGUAGGCGGAAUUCGUGGUGUAGCGGUGAAAUGCGUAGAUAUCAAGAAGAACACUGAUUGCGAAGGCAGCUCACUAGAAUGCAACUGACACUGAGGCUCGAAAGUGUGGGUAUCAAACAGGAUUAGAUACCCCAGUAGUC